rnacentral:misc_RNA from 1 species
UCAAACUUGGUCAUUUAGAGGAAGUAAAAGUCGUAACAAGGUUUCCGUAGGUGAACCUGCGGAAGGAUCAUUACCAAUUCAUGUCUCCCAGCCGAAAGGCUGGUGCAGGCGCUCAACCCUUUGUGAACCAAAAAACCUUUCGCUUCGGCAGCAGCUCGGUUGGCAACAGCCCAGCGUCAGCCUGCCGGUAGCACCAACCUCAAAAACUUGCAGUUAAGAACAUUGUCUGAUUACCAAGUUUUCGAAUGAAAAUCAAAACUUUCAACAACGGAUCUCUUGGUUCCCGCAUCGAUGAAGAACGCAGC